rnacentral:rRNA from 2 species
GGAAUCUGGCCCCCCCCGGGGGCCCGAGUUUGUAAUCUGGAGAGGAUGCUUCUGGCGCGGCGCCCGGCGAGUUCCCUGGAAACGGGACGCCGGAGAGGGUGAGAGCCCCGUUACUCCGGGCCGCCUAGCCUCUGCGAAGCUCCUUCGACGAGUCGAGUAGUUUGGGAAUGCUGCUCUAAACGGGAGGUAAAUUUCUUCUAAAGCUAAAUACCGGCCAGAGACCGAUAGCGCACAAGUAGAGUGAUCGAAAGAUGAAAAGCACUUUGAAAAGAGGGUCAAACAGUACGUGAAAUUGUUGAAAGGGAAGCGCCCGUGGCCAGACUUGCGCCCCGCGGCUCACCCGGCGGACCCCGCCGGGGCACGCCGCGG